rnacentral:rRNA from 1 species
AAUCAACGCUGGCGGCGUGCCUAACACAUGCAAGUCGAACGCGAAAGUCCCUUCGGGGGCGAGUAGAGUGGCGUCCGGGUGAGUAACGCGUGGGUAAUCUACCCUUGGGUGGGGAAUAACCAGUCGAAAGACUGGCUAAUACCGCAUAAUGCAGCGGCUCGACAUCGAGACAGUUGUUAAAGCUCUUUCGCAAAGAAGGGCGCCUGAGGAGGAGCCUGCGUCCGAUUAGCUAGUUGGCAGGGUAAUGGCCUACCAAGGCAACGAUCGGUAGCUGGUCUGAGAGGACGGCCAGCCACAAUGGCACUGAAACACGGGCCAUACUCCUACGGGAGGCAGCAGUGGGGAAUUUUUCGCAAUGGGGGAAACCCUGACGAAGCAACGCCGCGUGGAGGAUGAAGGUCUUCGGAUUGUAAACUCCUGUCGACCGGGACGAAUGCACUCGACCUAAUACGUCGAGCUGUUGACGGUACCGGUGGAGGAAGCCACGGCUAACUCUGUGCCAGC